CCUACGGGGGGCUGCAGUGGGGAAUAUUGGACAAUGGGGGGAACCCUGAUCCAGCCAUGCCGCGUGUGUGAAGAAGGCCCUCGGGUUGUAAAGCACUUUCAGUGAGGAAGAACGCCUGGUGGUUAAUACCCAUCAGGAAAGACAUCACUCACAGAAGAAGCACCGGCUAACUCCGUGCCAGCAGCCGCGGUAAUACGGAGGGUGCGAGCGUUAAUCGGAAUUACUGGGCGUAAAGCGCGCGUAGGUGGCUUGAUAAGCCGGUUGUGAAAGCCCCGGGCUCAACCUGGGAACGGCAUCCGGAACUGGCAAGCGCGCGUGCAGGAGAGGGACGUGGAACUCCCGGUGUAGAGGUGAAAUGAGUUGAGAACGGGAGGAAUACCAGUGGCGAAGGCGGCCUUUUGGACUGACCCUGACACUGAGGUGCGAAAGCGUGGGUAGCAAACAGGAUUAGAUACCCGAGUAGUC
rnacentral:rRNA from 1 species